rnacentral:rRNA from 1 species
AACGAACGCUGGCGGCAUGCCUAACACAUGCAAGUCGAACGAGACCUUCGGGUCUAGUGGCGCACGGGUGCGUAACGCGUGGGAACCUGCCCUUAGGUUCGGAAUAACUCCCCGAAAGGGGUGCUAAUACCGGAUAAUUUCUUCGGACCAAAGAUUUAUCUCCUUUGGAUGGGCCCGCGUUGGAUUAGCUAGUUGGUAGGGUAAAAGCCUACCAAGGCGACGAUCCAUAGCUGGUCUGAGAGGAUGAUCAGCCACACUGGGACUGAGACACGGCCCAGACUCCUACGGGAGGCAGCAGUGGGGAAUAUUGGACAAUGGGCGAAAGACUGAUCCAGCAAUGCCGCGUGAGUGAUGAAGGCCUUAGGGUUGUAAAGCUCUUUUACCCGGGAUGAUAAUGACAGUACCGGGAGAAUAAGCUCCGGCUAACUCCGUG